rnacentral:rRNA from 1 species
AAUGAACGCUGGCGGCGUGCUUAACACAUGCAAGUCGAGCGAGGCGGAGGGGGCAACUCCUCUAGCCGAGCGGCGGACGGGUGAGUAAACACGUGGGUAACCUGCCCGGAAGUGGGGAAUACCUCGGGGAAACUCGAGCUAAUGCCGCAUAACAUCCCCGGGACGAAAGUCCUGGUGAUCAAAGCGGGGUCGCAAGAUCUCGCGCUACCGGAUGGGCCCGCGCCCGAUUAGCUAGUUGGUGAGGUAAUGGCUCACCAAGGCAACGAUCGGUAGCCGGCCUGAGAGGGUGAUCGGCCACACCGGAACUGAGACACGGUCCGGACUCCUACGGGAGGCAGCAGUGGGGAAUCUUGCGCAAUGGGCGAAAGCCUGACGCAGCAGCGCCGCGUGGAGGAUGAAAGGCCCUUGGGUUGUAAACUCCUGUCGGCUGGGAAGAAAUCGUACGGUGCUCAUACCGCCGUGCGUUGACUGUACCAGCAAAAGGAAG